GGCACUGUGGCUCAAGUGGUAGGGCACCAGCCUUGAGCUGAAGAGCUGGAGGGACAGUGCCA
rnacentral:tRNA from 1 species